GACGAACGCUGGCGGCGUGCUUAACACAUGCAAGUCGAACGGUAAGGCCCUUCGGGGUACACGAGUGGCGAACGGGUGAGUAACACGUGGGUGAUCUGCCCUGCACUUCGGGAUAAGCCUGGGAAACUGGGUCUAAUACCGGAUAGGACUCCGGACUGCAUGGUCUGGGGUGGAAAGCUUUUGCGGUGUGGGAGGGGCCCGCGGCCUAUCAGCUUGUUGGUGGGGUGAUGGCCUACCAAGGCGACGACGGGUAGCCGGCCUGAGAGGGUGACCGGCCACACUGGGCCUGAGAUACUGCCCAGACUCCUACGGGAGGCAGCAGUGGGGAAUAUUGCACAAUGGGCGCAAGCCUGAUGCAGCGACGCCGCGUGAGGGAUGACGGCCUUCGGGUUGUAAACCUCUUUCAGCAUCGACGAAGCGAAAGUGACGGUAGGUGCAGAAGAAGGACCGGCCAACUACGUGCCAGCCGCCGCGGUAA
rnacentral:rRNA from 1 species